UAGGGAAUUUUCCGCAAUGGACGAAAGUCUGACGGAGCAACGCCGCGUGGAGGAUGACGUAUCUCGGUAUGUAAACUCCUUUUCUGCGGGACGAUAGUGACGGUACCGCAGGAAUAAGCAUCGGCUAACUACGUGCCAGCAGCAGCGGUAAUACGUAGGAUGCGAGCGUUAACCGGAAUUACUGGGCGUAAAGCGCGUGUAGGUGGUUUCGAAAGUCUGUUGUUAAAUUCUGGUGCUUAACAUCAGUUCUGCAAUGGAUACUUCGAGACUAGAGACGAUGGGGGGAAAACGGAAUUCCCGGUGUAGCGGUAAAAUGCAUUGAUAUCGGGAGGAACACCAGAAGCGAAGGCGGUUUUCUAACAUCGUUCUGACACUAAGACGCGAAGGCUAGGGUAGCGAAAGGG
rnacentral:rRNA from 1 species